rnacentral:rRNA from 1 species
AAAUCCGGUUCACUUUAACACUGAGGCGUGACGACGAGGCACUACGGUGCUGAAGCAACAAAUGCCCUGCUUCCAGGAAAAGCCUCUAAGCAUCAGGUAACAUCAAAUCGUACCCCAAACCGACACAGGUGGUCAGGUAGAGAAUACCAAGGCGCUUGAGAGAACUCGGGUGAAGGAACUAGGCAAAAUGGUGCCGUAACUUCGGGAGAAGGCACGCUGACACGUAGGUGAAGUGAUUUACUCAUGGAGCUGAAGUCAGUCGAAGAUACCAGCUGGCUGCAACUGUUUAUUAAAAACACAGCACUGUGCAAACACGAAAGUGGACGUAUACGGUGUGACGCCUGCCCGGUG